AAGAAGAUAAGACGCCCAGGAAACUAGAGGCGUUGAUUGAAGGAGCAGCAAGAAAUAAAUGUCACCUUCUCCGAAGAACUCAGAUCGGAAGCCCAGAGGAGACAAACUUAACACAAACAACAAACAGAACACGAGCGCAACAGUCAAGCAGCAUGUAUGUAUGAUUUCAUCUUUCCCUCCUCUUUUCCGUAUUCCCCUCCCUCUCUUUCUUUCUCCCUCUCUGUCAUUUAUCCUACGUAGCUUAGAAAUUGGUGCCACGUGUCCUAACAAACUGUCAGUAUCUCCUUCAAAGCGCAUAAGUCACUGGAAGAAAUAAGCCUCAAUCGUCCAUGGUAUGCCUGGAGAAGAGGAAGGUUAAAACGUUUUCUAAGCACAACAGGAAGGUAAUAGUUCACAACUGGUUUACAUUACUCUUCGUUGUCAUGUGGCACUAGUUUGUGGCAUCCCCUUAAAGCCAUCUCACGUCCUCGAGAGAGAUGUUUACAAAAAAGUACAAUUUCUCAAGGAAUUUGGUCGGUUUGCUUAUUGCAGGGACCUCCUACAGCCUUGUUAUAAAACAAGCGCCACAGCAUUCAGAGCAACGUUGACCUUGGACUGACCCUGGGCCAACUUUGGGAAGCUCUUGAGAAAGUAUCGUGUUCUGGAAAAUUCCAAAACAAACCUUACCAGACUUUUGUCUUCUAUCGAGCAAGCGUUAAAUUGUUAGCUAACCCAAUUGGCAAAACCCAGGAAUAACUUGCUUCAUGUUCCCUUGGCUUGGAAUCUGAUGAGGAACAUUUUGCAAUUAUGAAGGACAACGUUUAAGACAAGAAUUGGUCCACAGUUUUCAGAAAACUGUCACUGAAAACAAGUGCAAGUCAUUCAGCAAAGAAAAAGUAAAGGCAUGAAAUGUAACUAAUAUAAUGCCUCGCACCUGAGUUUGUCCACACCAUUGAGACGGUAUGAGUCUGGAGUAAUACGGCAUGCAGUGUAAGUGGGCAGUCUUGGAAGUUAGCUAAGAGCUAUCUCGUAGCUGAAGAGAAGUUCCCAGCUCUUACGGUAUUGGGGAAGGUCUACUCUAACCUUUCACCACUAGAAACUAUAGCUAGACCAAAACAUGGGAAGUUAUAUCAUGUUUGGUUAAUUGAAAAGGCACACAUAUUCUAUGCUUAAGGUAAAACCGAACAGGACUGAAUCCUAUGCAAAAAAUUAGCUCGCCUAGCUCUUCACCAGUGCACCCUCUUUGAGUUUGGAGGGCAAUUUGCACGUGACAAAAAGCCUCCUUGUCAAACCGUAACAAGGCUUGAAAUGUCUGACGUCCAUCAAUACAAAACUGAAUGGCAUAAGCAAAAAGAUUUGCACGAAACACUAAGGCCUGGUUCCUAAUAUCUUCAUUCCAACACAUUGAGUUUACAUUCUAAGUUUAUGUUUUACAUCGUAUAUAUCAUCCUAUGUUGGCGAAAUCUCUCAACAGUUCUUAGGUUUAAAUUUGACUCUAAAUCCAUAACGACGCCCUGCAAAACAUUGUUCUCAGCUCUGACGUUGGUCGGAUUAAAGUUCUCAAGAAAUGACCUUUCCACUGCAUGACAUCAUGUGUGUUGGUUUGUGCCAUCCGUUACCAAGCUCCCCUCUUUGCUGGAAGGAUUAUCUCUAAUGAUCUCUAAUUAUAUCUAUCUUACAUAACUACAUCAAUAUGCUCAUAAGCCGUUCUAAUGGGCCUAAGUCACCUAGCGGCCAACUGGGUUCUACCUGGGUGGGGGAGUCCACACUCAGCUCCCUCCAGCGAAGCUCACAAACCAAGAUGGCCGCUAGGGUGAACAAAGCCCAUAGCAACGCACUCUUAGGAUCCCGUCGGAGCGCACUAAAUCUGUACGUUCUCCUCGCGUGUGUGCGGUUCUCCCCUCCUAAACAUCCACAGGCCACGGUGUCCACUUGGACUCUCUGGGAAGGAGUCGUUCUGUGAUGACGAGUGACGGAGGUGACGUGUGGCGCAACAACCAGCUCUGAACCCGCCCCCAUACCCUGCUCGACCAAUCCACAUUGUCCUCUGAUUGAGAAUGAAAACGAGAUGCCAACUAGGCUGCAUCUUUCACCCUAUACCCUGUUUUACUCCAGUCAAACCUGUAUAACCUUCUUUAUCUCCCCCCCUCAAACACACCCCUAAACUACCCCCC
ensembl:lncRNA